AUAGUUUGGAGAUAAAGCUCGAAUGAUACACAGCGUUCCUUGGAAAAAACAUGAAAUUCUAGACUGAGAACGUGAUGGCAAGGCAUGUAAUCGGAAGCAAAGUCAGAGGAAAACCUUGACUUUAUCUUAUCAACAAGAUUUUAUUACUGUCAUUGAUUUGAUUUAAAUAGUUUUGCCAUUAAUACAUCAUUGUAUUACAGUAAACCUGGACAAUUCAGUUCUUUGACCCACUCAGAAAAAAGCAAUAAGUUCGCCAAAAAAAGCAAACGAUCAAAAUCCAAAGAAAGCCAUUUAAUUGAUUGGCCAAACAUAAACACAACAAUCAAUUGUUGCAUAAACAAAUCGAUGAAUGAAAGUGCCGACUCACCGAGAAAUGCUGGGCAAUUGGAUCGAAGUCAACCGAGAUCCCGAGAUGGGCUAUGCAAAUGAUGUCAUGGCACCUCCAUCCACACAUACGAGAUAUAUGCUGGCUGGGUGCCGGUACCAGCAUAAAUGUUGGGAAUAUUCCAUCGACAAGUGGGGGCAGCUCUGCGCCGGAGCAAAACAAAUUGAUCGGAGGGUUUCUGGGGACAGGGAGCUUUUCCGAACCGGUAUGAGUCGGAUUGCAUAGUCCACACAAAGGUCUACCUUUGACGGUUUGGAUGGCAAUCAGCUGAUAGAGCUAUAGACAACAGUUGCCCAGAUCCGCAGUUCCCCCGGAUCACACCGAUCCACACCCAGACUACGCAUUAACAUUUUACGAUCGGGCUGAAUAACAGACUUUCGAUCGCGAAACACGUUGGGCGAGUCUUUCUCCACGCCAGACACAUAAAAAAUAGUGCAAAACUAAAUACUCUGACCCCCAAAUCAGAAAUCACAAAAAAAGUGGACACAAAAAAUCCAACGAAAACAAAUGCGAAGCCAAACGAGCUUGGCAACGAUGUCUCCGGCAUAAAAAGUUUAAAAUUAAAUUCAAACUAUAUAUAUUUCUGUUUAUCGUUCGCACAAAGCAAACACGCACACACACAUGGACAGCAGAUACAAAUGAGUCAAAAACGUGACUUAACUUUUUGCUUUAAUUUAUUUGUUUGUUCUUUAAUUUAUGCCAAGAGAAACAUGCGCAUAAUCGUUAGUUAAUUAAAUGGAUAUGUAUCAGGCAAUCGAGUUUACUGCGAACAUCAAUCAUUGAGUUGCAAACGUUCGAAUAAAAAUGGGCAAGGUGGCUUAGAUUGGGUGUCUAUCGGUCAAAUGUCAUUCGGGGGGCGGUCUUUCUUAAAUAUAAAAACCAGUUACAAACGCGAAAAUCAAAACAAGUUAUGCGAUCCACUGCACUAAGGAGACCGCUUCCACGAAUGCAAUCAAGAUAAUCGCGCCAAUAUGUAUCUCCAUACCAGAUCCAACUGGUUGGCCCGAGAUAAUGGUUCUCAUUUCCUUCCAUCGGCGCAGUGCAAAAAAACUGCAGUUGCAGCUCAGGUGCAAUUCAACUCUAACGGCACUCCGAAGUGUGGAGUGAAGUCCACUUCUAGGGGAAGUACCGACACUCAAAAAUACUAUGUAUCUCAAGAGUCUUGAAAUAAUUCAAUCUUUUCUCUACUAAUUCAAAAGCAAAUAGAUACUAAAUAUAAUCUUAUCUUAAUGUUCAUUAUUCAUACUCUUCACUUCUUUCUUUUGUACAUUUAAAGAGUUUUUUAUAUUGCUGCUCGGAAUUUAAAAACAAUAUAGUAUCUGAUAACUGCCCUGACACACAAACGAAAUCGUUGUAUCUCCACUGGGAAUAAUAUUUAUAAUGAAAUGGCACUGCCUUAUCGUCUGGCAUCUUUAAUCACGGCUGAGUCAAUUUAUUUCGCGCUUAUAGUAAGUAAGCCAAAUACCUCGGUUGCAUAUCAGAGCUCUACCCUUUCAGCAUUUACAAGUGCUCAACUCCCACGAAUCCUUCUAAAUAUGAGCUGUGAAAACAAGGACAUCAAAAGGACUGUGUGCUUCCCGCAGAGAAAAUUCCAUUCGCAUUCAGAUGCGUCCGCCCACUUGAGUCUCCAUUCCCAGAAAAGCUUCAGUUCGUCAUCCUAGAGCCAUUAUAUUGGCCAAGGCCAACGGAACGUGUGUCUUGGUCGCGAUCCAGAAGAGCUAAAUUGAAACCGGUUCGAUGGGCGGCGGGCUGGGGGCGGCACUCGGGAAAAUGGGAAAUAAAUAGAAAACCAAA